UACGGAGGGUGCAAGCGUUAAUCGGAAUUACUGGGCGUAAAGCGCACGCAGGCGGUUGGAUAAGUUAGAUGUGAAAGCCCCGGGCUCAACUUCGGAAUUGCCUUUAAUACUGUCCAGCUAGAAUCUGGUUGAGGGGGGUAGAAUUCCAGGUGUAGCGGUGAAAUGCGUAGAGAUCUGGAGGAAUACCGGUGGCGAAGGCGGCCCCCUGGACAAAGAUUGACGCUCAGGUGCGAAAGCGUGGGGAGCAAACAGG
rnacentral:rRNA from 1 species